AAAUUUUUUCCUCCCCCACAGCAGCCGAAAAGCAGGGAAAGGUCAACUUCAUGUACGAAGCAGGCAGCGAACAGAUCAACUGCAACGGAGCACUCAUCGAGCUGCCCUCGCUGGAGGUGGUAAAGCCAGCACCCAAAAUGCCAGCAGAUGCCAAUAUCGACUGGCUGCUCCACAUCUAUUUCACACGCCGCCAAUUCGAGCAUUGUCGCCGGCUCAUCGCACGUGAACUGAAUCGCCAUUUGAAUGCGGAAUAUCUGUACUUUGUGCAGGGUUUAAUUGAGCGCGAAGAUGGCAAUAACAUUGAGGCGUUGCGCAACCUACAAAAGGCCGCCGAGCUCAACACGCACAACAUCGAGACGUACAAGGAAAUCGGACGCACACUCUACAGCAUGGGCCGUUUUGGACAGGCGCUGAGCGUGUUCCGCGAGGCGGAGCAGCAGAGUCCACGCAAGGAUCACGAGAUCUAUCACUAUCUGGGCGAGCUGCUCUAUCGCUCGGCGGCCACACAGCCCCAGCUGGAGAUCGCCCGCCAGCAGCAGCACGAGGCCAGGGGCUACUUUGAGCUGGCCGUGCAGGCGGGCAAGAAACUGGAGAGCUAUGUCCGCCUGGCCGAGCUCUAUCGCAAGGACAAGGACUACCAGAAGGCCAUCGAUGUGCUCGAGACCUGCUUGCACCUAACGCCCGAGAAUGCCGAAGUCCUGACUGAAAUCAGCGUGUUGUACUUGAAAAUCAACGAGACUCAAAAGGCAUUCGAUCGUUUGGCGGAAAUCGUCAACAUUGAGCGGAACUGUGCGCCGAAAGGUCUGCUCGCCCUGGGUGCCAUUUUACAGUCCCGCAACGAUGUGGAUGCCGCCUUAAGCAAAUACAGCCAAAUCGCAGACACUGAGCCGGAAAUUGCCGAACUCUGGAACAAUAUUGGCCUUUGCUUUUUCAAGAAGCAAAAGUUCAUCGCGGCGGUUUCAUCGCUAAGGAAAUCAGUUUGGAUAUCGCCCCUCAACUACAAUGCGCUCUACAAUCUGAGUCUCAUUUAUAUUGCCUCGGAGCAAUAUGCGAGCGCCUUUCAUACGCUGGCCGCUGCCAUAAACCUGCGCAAGGACAACGCCGAGUGCUACAUGCUGCUGGGCCUGUGCUUACGCAAACUGGAGGACUUGGAGAACGCUUUUGUGGCUCUCGAGCGUGCCUGCAGUCUGGCCAGUGGACAACAACAGGGUGGCCAGCGGCAUCCUUUGGUGUUCCUCAACUUUGCGCUCUUCUGCUACGAAACUGGACGCCUGGCCCUGGCCGCCGAGCACUACAACCGUUUCAUGAGUCACGCCCAGGAUCUGCUGCUGCCCACCGAAGUAAGUCGCGUAGUCUAUCAGCGCGCUCAAUGGCUCCUCGCCGUGUCAACCGAUUAGCCUAAGCCAGCCAGCAUAACAAAAAAAAAAAAAAAAAAGAAAAAAAUGAAGGGAAGCCACAAAUAUUUGAACAAUCAAACUACCCUCAACUGCCGCAUUUUUGUAGCUUUUCAAAGUGCAAAUUGAAAUUCGGCAAAAUUUGAUUAAAUCUAACCAAAUGAAAGCCCGAAAAUGCAGCAUAUCGAUGGAGAACUUUUAAUUGGAAUACAAAUUCGGUAGUCAAGGCAAAUAAGUGUGUGAGUGCAUUUCAAAUUUCAGGCCACCAAAUUGAAGUCCCUGUUGCGCAUCUCAACGCACGGCCAGGGUAUACUGGGCGAUGGUGAGGAC